AUGAACUCUUUCUCCCGGGAAGCUUCGAUUCCCCGCUACCUACGCGAGCGCUGGCUCCCCUCCUCUCCUUCCCCUCCCCCACCCUUGCUUUGGCAGCCAGGAAUUGCUGGCGGCGGCGGGGCUUUGUCAUCUGAACGCACACACAGACACGCACACGCGCGCACCCGGUCACCACCGGACCGCGGCGGCCGCUGCGCGGUGUCCUUCCUCGCUGCGCUCCCCUCCCCGCCCCCUCUUUUUAAGAGCUCCUCCAAACCCUUUCUUCCGUCCUUUAUGUGUGCGGUCCUUUUAAUCGAGGAGCUCGGGAAGCAUUUUAGUGGAGCCUCCCGCGGGGCGCGGGACGGCAGGACAGAGGACGCGCUCGGAGGGAACGCGUGGGCAGCUGGGCUUUGUUCUGCCCCUGGCCGGGGUCCCGAGGGCGGAAAAGCCUCUGCCACGCUGGGGCCUACCGGCGCGUUGGCGGCGGCUAACACCCCCCUUCAACUGCAACGUGAAAUCCCCUCCGGAGUUCACUCCGGACUUGGUCCGGGUGGGGCGCAUCGCCUCGGGGAGGGUCUCCUGGUCCACGACUGGCUCUCCCCAUACAGACAAAUGUGCGGUGUCAUUAUGGUGGCUCCUGUUGCUCGAGGCCCCGGGGGUGCUCCGGCGGCGCGCGCGCACCCCACCCCUACACAGCGCGGAGGGCGAGAGGGGGGCCCAGGGGCUGGAGCUCCCCGGGGGGCUGCCCGGAGGAGACGCCGCGCCGGGCCCUCCCGCACCUCCAGGCUGCCUUCCGGGACCGCGAGCACGGAGCCAGGGCGGCCUCUCGCCUUUCGUUACCGGGCCUACGAAAGCAGCAGCCCAGGCAAAUAUGUAGCUAUUAAAAUUAAUCGCCCUGCGUUGUCAGCUGAACAUAAUGCAAAUUAUUUAUGGGCUGUCUGCGCAAUAUUUAUCAUCGUGCAGGCUCCAGGCGCUUCGUGCCUCCCGGCCUCCCCCGCCCGCCCCGGCCCGCGCAGGGCGAAGCUGCGCGCAGGCUGCGGCGGCGGCCAGGGGCCCCUGGGCACCGGCAUGGGGUUCCGAGGGCGAGGCCGCGAACCAGGCUGCCUUCCAGGGCGAGAGCUUCACUUUAGUUUUUGCCACUCGUUCCACAUUUGUUAG
rnacentral:lncRNA from 1 species